rnacentral:rRNA from 1 species
GAUGAACGCUGGCGGCGUGCCUAAUACAUGCAAGUCGAGCGAACAGACGAGGAGCUUGCUCCUUCGACGUUAGCGGCGGACGGGUGAGUAACACGUAGGUAACCUACCUAUAAGACUGGGAUAACUUCGGGAAACCGGAGCUAAUACCGGAUAAUAUUUCGAACCGCAUGGUUCGAUAGUGAAAGAUGGCUUUGCUAUCACUUAUAGAUGGACCUGCGCCGUAUUAGCUAGUUGGUAAGGUAACGGCUUACCAAGGCAACGAUACGUAGCUGACCUGAGAGGGUGAUCGGCCGCACUGGAACUGAGACACGGUCCAGACUCCUACGGGAGGCAGCAGUAGGGAAUCUUCCGCAAUGGGCGAAAGCCUGACGGAGCAACGCCGCGUGAGUGAUGAAGGUCUUCGGAUCGUAAAACUCUGUUAUUAGGGAAGAACAAACGUGUAAGUAACUGUGCACGUCUUGACGGUACCUAAUCAGAAAGCCACGGCUAACUACGUG